rnacentral:rRNA from 1 species
UGCAAGACUACUUCGCGGAGGUACCGUCAUACCCACCUCGCCUCUUCCGGCGAAGGUACCGAAUGCGCCGUAGUUUUGUUUGUGAAGAUUGUCACCGAUUGUGAGGCCGCCUCAGAUUACUUCAAACAUCGUAGAUCCGCCGCCGGUAUCAUGGGGUUUAGUGGGUACCAAAAGAUAUCGGCUGCAAUGUGGGUGAUCGCCUAUGGCAUACCCGCGGACUAUACCGACGAGUAUCUUCGCAUUGGACGAGAUACAACCACGGCGUCCGUUUGUAGGUUUGCAAAAUUGGUCAUCCGGUUGUAUGGUGAUGAGUAUCUUCGGGCACCCAACGAGGAAGAUACAAAGAGAUUGAUGGAGAUGAAUGAAAAAAGGGGAUGGUCGGGGAUGCUUGGUAGUCUUGAUUGCAUGCAUUGGACAUGGAAAAAUUGCCCAAAAGCAUGGCAAGGAAUGUAUUGCGGUAAAAGCUGUGAUGCUACCAUUGUGCUUGAGGCCGUGGCAUCGGAGGACACAUGGAUCUGGCAUGCAUUUUUUGGUUUGUCGGGAACACUCAAUGAUAUCAAUGUGCUCAACAGAUCUCCUUUGUUUGCAAGAUUAGUUUCUAGGGAUGCUCCAACUUGCAACUACAAAAUCAUGGACAAUGAGUACUCAAUGAGAUACUAUCUCACCGAUGGAAUUUAUCCCGAGUGGGCAACUCUUGUGAAGUCCAUCAAGGAGAAAAAUGAGGUGCCCUUAACCAGAAAACAGGCUCAUUUCACCAAGGCACAAGAGGCAGCCCGCAAGGAUAUCGAGAGAGCUUUCGGUGUUUUGCAAGCAAGGUUUGCCAUAGUUGGGGUCCAGCUCGUUUUUGGGACAAAAAACCUUGGAGAACAU